rnacentral:rRNA from 1 species
CCUACGGGGGACAGCAGUGGGGAAUAUUGCACAAUGGGGGCAACCCUGAUGCAGCGACGCCGCGUGAGUGAUGAAGUAUUUCGGUAUGUAAAGCUCUAUCAGCAGGGAAGAAAAUGACGGUACCUGACUAACAAGCCCCGGCUAACUACGUGCCAGCAGCCGCGGUAAUACGUAGGGUGCAAGCGUUAUCCGGAUUUACUGGGUGUAAAGGGAGCGUAGACGGAAUAGCAAGUCUGAUGUGACAGCCCGGGGCUCAAGGCCGGGAGUGCAUUGGACACUGUUGAUCUAGAGUGUCGGAGAGGAAGGCGGAAUUCAGAGUGUAGCGGUGAAAUGCGGAGAUAUUAGGAGGAACACCAGUGGCGAAGGCGGCUGGCUGGACGAUGACUGACGUUGAGGCUCGAAAGCGUGGGGAGCAAACAGGAUUAGAUACCCCAGUAGUC